rnacentral:rRNA from 1 species
UACGUAGGGUGCAAGCGUUGUCCGGAAUUAUUGGGCGUAAAGAGCUCGUAGGCGGUCUGUCGCGUCGGCUGUGAAAACCCGGAGCUCAACUCCGGGCCUGCAGUCGAUACGGGCAGACUGGAGUUCGGCAGGGGAGACUGGAAUUCCUGGUGUAGCGGUGAAAUGCGCAGAUAUCAGGAGGAACACCGGUGGCGAAGGCGGGUCUCUGGGCCGAUACUGACACUGAGAGACGAAAGCUAGGGGAGCGAAUGGG